CUUUUCCCCAAUUUUUUUGAGAUCUCCACACCUGUCAGAUGACAAAGGGUCAGAUCAAAGCAAAUCAAAUCCACUAGGGUUUGUUGAGCUCAUUAGGAAGGGUAGUGUGCGGGAACAUCACCUAAACAGUGCCCGAAGGAAAUUAGUCUGGAACAGUCUGCUGCCCAUCCAGGGAGGUUGCAUCUAAAUUCUGGGGACUCUCUCAACACCCAGGAGGAAGGGGCAUCUACAUUUGGUUGUCACUGGUACCUACUGGUGUCUGUUGGCUCAUCCUUUCCUGUUUUAGUUGUUGGCUUUUAUCCCUGCUGGCAUCC